rnacentral:lncRNA from 1 species
UUAAUUUGUUUGUCUUUCUUAAUUAAUUGUGAUUGAUAAGGCCCUAAUUACCAAUUGUUGGUCUUCUCUAUUCUUUAUUAAGUUUUUGUGCCUAGUAAUGUUUAAGAAUAACUGCAUUAUUGGCCCACAAUCUAUUGUCCUAGUUGCAAGUUUGUAGACGACUUUUAAAGAGAAGCAAGUCCUCUUUCAUCGUAUUUGUACUAUAGGCCCCCAAUGACCGUAACCGCCAUUUAACACUUCAAAUUCUUCAUCUCUGGCCCAAGUUUUAGAUUUAUAAAGUCGUGUUAGGGCUACAUCAUGAUUUAAGUGAACAAAUAGUUUCAUAAGUAAGGGUAAACAUGGUUCCACUUAAUUCUGGUUCUUAGAUAACCAAAUUGAACGGAUGAUUUUAUUUAAUAAUGGAUCCAAUGGUUUGUUUUAUUAUUAUUUUUUACUUUUUUAACGAUAUGGAACCAUAUCGGAAUUGAAUCAUUUGGUUCUGGUAUGUUUACUUAAUUUUUAAAUGGUAAACGCAAAUUAAAAGCUAUCACCAUAUCCAUAAGUUAGUAAUAUAUACCUAACCUACAAAAAAAAAAAAAAAAAAAAAAAAAAAAAAACAUUAAGCAAAAUGUAAUGAUAGUUGUGGGGUAGGAGUGUGAGUGUGUCUAAAAUUGAAAAGGAGAAAGAGCGUAGAAUUCAGAUCUAGCGUUUGGACACUUUAUCUGAUAGGUGAUAAGAUAAAAUGUAAUGGUGAAUGACCUUUUUUCAAUUUUACACUUGCAAUUUAUAGAAUUAAAUUUUUGGUGUAUUCACUGAUUUGUAAAAGGAAAAAUAUAUAAAAAUAAUAAUAAAAAUUGAGUCGGUUCUUGUAUUUAGAAACGAAAUUGGAACCAAACCAAAAUCAUUAAUUUUUUUUUUUGUAGAACUGAACCUAAUCUCUCGAUUUUGUUUGGUUCUAAUUUGGUUUGGUCAUUUUGUCCACACCUAAUCAUAGAAAAAAUCAAGGACCAAUUGACUCAUUUUUAAAGCUUACGGACCAACUUUGAAAAUAUUGAGUUGGGAACCAUUGGUGCAAUUUUUCUACAUAUAUAUACGUGCGCUUGUGUAAUAUAUUGAUUUUUUUCUAGAUAUUAGGUAGCAUUUAUUAUUUAGAUUGAAAGCAUAUUCAAUUUUUCUUUCUUGAAAAAUUUUGCUAGAUAGGCGUAUAUGUUGUUCGAUUGAAAGCAUAUGCAAUUGUUCUUUAUCUUGAAUAUUUCAAUUCUUGUAUUUACAUUUUAUUCACUUGAUGCUAUUUUUUUAAGAGUAAUGCUAGUUGUAUAUAAUAAUGUAUAUGUUGGUUUACAAAUCAAUGAUGUUGAAAAGAGAGAGAGAGAGAGAGAGAGAGAGAGAGAGAGAGGAAUAAAAUGAAGUUAAUAUCGUCAAUCUGUACACAAUUAUGUACAAAUUACAUUACUCUUUUUUAGUUUUUAAAUGGGAUUUUCCCUUUUAUUUUUCCAUUGUGUUUCAUGUAAACACAUUAACGCAUGCUAAUAAGCUAUGGGGCUCAGCAAAAUUAUCUACGUGUAUGGGAGAAUAAAAGUUUCUGUUACAAACUCUUUACAUUAUCUCUACUUAUCUCUAACAAAACAAAUACACACCUUUAUGUAUUUUCUCCCUAUUUUUCUGUUUCUCAUAUUCCUUUAUCAGUCCUAUAGGAUUUAUGUCGUGUCAUUCGCUAAUUACACUUUAUAGCACUUGAUAUUUAUCAAAAAUAGAUUUCUUUUCUUUUUCUUUGUAUGUACACAGAAAGAUUUCGUUAACUUGUUGCUCCAAAAUUUUCAUAUUUGUUUUUAUUUUGUCUUCCACAUAAUAUUUCCUUGUUUCCUCAUCACCGAGAUCUUUCCUUUUCUCUUGCCAACUGAAGCAAUUAAGGGGAUUGUCUUUCAAUAAUUAGUGUAUAAAUAUAAUAAAGCCCCUGUUUAAAUCUUUUUAAAUUAAAUCUCUUUAUUUCUCGUACUUAUUUUCAGCUACAAAUUUACAUAAUAAAAUAUUUUGCACGUAAAUCUAAAAAUUUUUGCCUACUUCUUAACCCAUAUUCUCCGAAAAAUUAUUAUUCAAAACAUCAUUUUCCCUAAUUUCACUUUAUAAUAGCCAUCAAACAGGGGCUAAUAUACUUACCAUAGAUAGUCUAAAACAUAGCUGUAAUUGAUUGAAAUAAGCCCGUUACCAUAGAUGGUCUAAAACCUUGUAGAAUAUUUUGGCGAGUUAUUGAUUAUUAACAACGCCAACAAGUAUUCCAUCCUAAGUGUAGAAUUACCUGCAUUAAGAAUCAAGUUUAGGAAAUCCUUUACUCGUUACUUUACAAGAAUUCCUUUCUUAAGAGAAAUGUCCUUAUUGAAGUUGGGGUAGGAAAGGCAUUAUUCCUAUUUCAUCUAUUCCAUGACCGGAACAUGCGAGGAUACACGUUAUACCAAGAUUCUUUCACCAAUCCCCUUCUAAGGGAAGGAGGAACGGUAUUACUUAAUCCAAUCCUUCCUUCAUAAAGAAUGAUGGGGAGAAGAAACAUUCUUAUCAAAGUCAAAGGAGCGUGCUAACCACUCCCCUUUCUGUACCAUUGCUAGGAGCCUCGUCCUCUUGAUUUGGCACAGAAUUCUAUUGUAAUAACAUACAAUUGUAGAAGAGACCAAUAGAAAUGGUCUAGUUUCCAAAGAAAUCAAGAAUGUAAUACCCAAAUAUUAUUGGUUAUGGGUUGGCUUGACAUUCAUAACUCUAUUUGAGUCAUCAUCAUAGAGGCUAUGUCAUAGAUAUCUCUUUCUAAGCCAUAAACUAAUCAUGGGAAAAAGGUAAAGGUAUUCCCGAUGAAUGUUUAGUAUAGUUUGUUGAAUUCUUGCACUAAGAUUGUGAGCUAAUUUAAUGAAAAGAUUAUAGAUUUAUGUUUUUGCAUUUUGGGGUUCAGGAACUUCAUUCUAGAUCUUUUGGCCAAUGGUAAGAGGCAAUUUGGGAGCAUUGGUGGUAACUAACUGAGCCGUGACAUUAACACCACUGGUUGGUCAGAUCAUUUCAGUUGUGACUUUGCUUCACUUUGUUUAGUCAAUCCUUCACAAUUUCUCGUAACAUGCCAAUUCUUGUGACAAUAGUAACACCCAACGUCCCUCCAAGAACAUGACAGAGCUUGAUCACUCUUCCUCUCAUAAGUCUUUCCUUGCAAUGCACUUCUACCAGGUUUAGUUUCAGUUUUUGCCAAAAGAAUGUAUAACGAGGUUUACCACCUGGCUUCUUGAUAUUGGUGGUUAUCUCUUAGAAAACAGCAGGGACCUUAUUCAUAGUCAAAGUGAAUUUUCCAACUAGUAGCAUAGUUUCUAUAGUCCCGUAUGACGUGGACAAGAAAGACAUCAAAAUUAUUGCUUUGUCUUCACUCUCAUUCUCUAUUUCGAUGCAUAAUUAUUAAAAUAAUUCCCAACAGCAGCCCCUCUUCAAUCUUUCACUCAUACAAUUGGUUUAUUAAAUACAUUCUGUUUAUUGGGGAAUUGGACAAAUCACCUUUCUAAUGUUUUCUGUAGUUUAACAAGAGGUAAUCAUGCUGGAUUGUAUCUCAAGAGCAAUGAGCAAUCUAAAGGUAUGUUCUUGUUGUAUUUGCUUCCAUUUCUACCAAUUCUGCAUCUUCCACCCGUUAUAUAUCUUAACUUGCAAUACUUUAGGAGCUCUAGUUGCACUAAGACAUCUUUAACAAUAAUAUGUCAGACAUUAAGUUACUUUUCAAAUUAUCAAAAUGCUCACCUCAAACUUUGAAUUUGCCAUCACCUUCAAUGAUAGCGAGUUUUGGACUGUCAACUCUGAUGCCACUUGAUGGAAAAACACUGCAUACUAAUAAAAGCAAAUAGAAGAGAGAGAACUCAAUUUACAUGGUUCGGCAAAACCGCCUACCACCACAAUAAGAGAGAAUUAAUUCACUAAUCAAAUCUUCAAAUGCAAACUCUUUUAACUCUCUAGUCUAAACACAAUGUAUGUCCAUAUUCACUCUCCCUAUUUUAUUCUCUCUUGUUGCUUCCCUUUUAUUACUUCUCUCUCUAUUUCUGUCUCUCUCUGUGUGUGUAAUUCACUAAUUGUAUGUUCAUCACCUUGUAGCACAAAUCCAUAUUUGUCGAAUAUAAGUUUUGUCUUUCUUUUCUUUCUUUUAUUAACUUUCUUUGUACAUGGUAAGAUUUUCUGCUGUUAACAUUUUGCACAAUGAUUUUCCUCUUUUUCCUUAUUUUUUCUUCCACAUAAUAUUUUUUUAUUUUGUUGUGCACCCAUGUCCAUCCUUUUUCUUUCUCGAAGAAAAUAUAAACAAAAUAAUGGGAAUCAUAUCCUACAGUGGGAAUCAUGAAUAAAGAAUCUCAAGCUAGAGUUUCAAGAUUUUUACAAAUAAUAAGAAUAAAAAUCUGAAAAUUUAAGCCACUUCUGAGAAAAAGAGAAUUUUAACCAAAUGGACAUGCUUAAUCUGCCCUUGAUGGAUAGUAAUAGCUUUUGCUUUAUGAAUAUUAUUUCGUGAAAUAUCCAUUUAAUUCUGUUCCAUUGUCUAACAACAGAAAAAUGGCGUUGACAUUCCAC